GGGUUGUGAGGUUAAGCGACUAAGCGUACACGGUGGAUGCCCUGGCAGUCAGAGGCGAUGAAGGACGUGCUAAUCUGCGAUAAGCGCCGGUAAGGUGAUAUGAACCGUUAUAACCGGCGAUUUCCGAAUGGGGAAACCCAGUGUGACUCGUCACACUAUCAUUAACUGAAUCCAUAGGUUAAUGAGGCGAACCGGGGGAACUGAAACAUCUAAGUACCCCGAGGAAAAGAAAUCAACCGAGAUUCCCCCAGUAGCGGCGAGCGAACGGGGAGGAGCCCAGAGCCUGAAUCAGCAUGUGUGUUAGUGGAAGCGUCUGGAAAGGCGCGCGAUACAGGGUGACAGCCCCGUACACAAAAGCGCAUGUGCUGUGAGCUCGAUGAGUAGGGCGGGACACGUGGUAUCCUGUCUGAAUAUGGGGGGACCAUCCUCCAAGGCUAAAUACUCCUGACUGACCGAUAGUGAACCAGUACCGUGAGGGAAAGGCGAAAAGAACCCCGGCGAGGGGAGUGAAAAAGAACCUGAAACCGUGUACGUACAAGCAGUGGGAGCACAGGUUUACCUGUGUGACUGCGUACCUUUUGUAUAAUGGGUCAGCGACUUAUAUUCUGUAGCAAG
rnacentral:rRNA from 1 species